GACGAACGCUGGCGGCGUGCUUAACACAUGCAAGUCGAACGGAAAGGCCCUGCUUUUGUGGGGUGCUCGAGUGGCGAACGGGUGAGUAACACGUGAGUAACCUGCCCUUGACUUUGGGAUAACUUCAGGAAACUGGGGCUAAUACCGGAUAGGAGCUCCUGCUGCAUGGUGGGGGUUGGAAAGUUUCGGCGGUUGGGGAUGGACUCGCGGCUUAUCAGCUUGUUGGUGGGGUAGUGGCUUACCAAGGCUUUGACGGGUAGCCGGCCUGAGAGGGUGACCGGCCACAUUGGGACUGAGAUAAGGCCCAGACUCCUACGGGAGGCAGAAGUGGGGAAGAUUGAACAAGGGGCGGAAGCCUGAUGAAGCAACGCCGCGUGCGGGAUGACGGCCUUAGGGUUGUAAACCGAUUUCGCCUGUGACGAAGCGUGAGUGACGGUAAUGGGUAAAGAAGCACAGGCUAACUACGUG
rnacentral:rRNA from 1 species